AAGGAAGUUCAUUAGAUCAUCCUACAAAGAGAAAAAUCUACUUGAAUUCCCUUGGAAGAGUUCCAUCAUGUUCAAUUACAUUGAAGAUGCUGCCCUCAGCAAGUAAAGCAACAUGCACUGCUUUUUGGGAUAGGAAAGGACUGAUCCUUCUUGAUUUCCUGGAGUCCAGACAAACCAUCAACUCCAUCUGCUAUAUAUCAGCUGUUUAGGGAAAGGACGUAUAUGAAGCCUUCCUCAGACAACUGGAAGAAGUCUCACAUUUGCAGACGUGUUCACCACCUCAGUAUCUGCCAGAAGGGCACCAGCAAGCCAGGAGGCUUUUGGAGUGCAUCAGUGACAGCUUCCUAACACAGCACUCAGCUGACUUGGAGUCCACAAUUUUUCUCUUCAUACAGCCCAGAAAGAGUUCAGAGAAGAUUUACAAUUAUGAGGACAUAUAUCCCUCACAACAAAAGGAAAGCUGAAGUAAUCCAAAUGAUAUAUAAAACUUGCUUUGAUGACCUAUUGAUUUGCUUAAGUGGAUUCCUGAAACAUCUGGGGCGCACAGAUAUGGCACUGAACCAUCUCCGGCAGACAGGAUUAAAGCUAAAAGUUCAGAAUUGAUGUUUCAUUCAAUAAGAUCUGAAAUAAAGCGUGUAUUCCCUUUGACAAAUGUAUCAGUUCAGCAGAGAGGAC
rnacentral:lncRNA from 1 species